UGCCAGCCGCCGCGGUAAUACGGAGGGUGCAAACGUUGUUCGGAAUCACUGGGCAUAAAGAGCACGUAGGCGGCUAAGUCAGUCUGGUGUGAAAGCCCCCGGCUCAACCGUUGAACUGCCUCUGAUACUGUCGGUCUUGAGUCCGUUAGGGGAUGGUGGAAUUCCUGGUGUAGCGGUGAAAUGCGUAAAUAUCAGGAGGAACACCGGUGGCGAAGGCGACCAUCUGGGACGGAACUGACGCUGAUGAACGAAAGCUAGGGUAUCAAACGGGAUUAGAUA
rnacentral:rRNA from 1 species